AGUGAACGCUGGCGGUAGGCCUAACACAUGCAAGUCGAACGGCAGCACAGUAAGAGCUUGCUCUUACGGGUGGCGAGUGGCGGACGGGUGAGGAAUACAUCGGAAUCUACUUUUUCGUGGGGGAUAACGUAGGGAAACUUACGCUAAUACCGCAUACGACCUACGGGUGAAAGCAGGGGAUCUUCGGACCUUGCGCGAUUGAAUGAGCCGAUGUCGGAUUAGCUAGUUGGCGGGGUAAAGGCCCACCAAGGCGACGAUCCGUAGCUGGUCUGAGAGGAUGAUCGGCCACACUGGAACUGAGACACGGUCCAGACUCCUACGGGAGGCAGCAGUGGGGAAUAGUGGACAAUGGGCGCAAGCCUGAUCCAGCCAGACCGCGUGGGUGAAGAAGGCCUUCGGGUUGUAAAGCCCUUUUGUCGGGAAAGAAAAGCAGCAGGUUAAUACCCCGCUGUUCUGACGGUACCCAAAGAAUAAGCACCGGCUAACUUCGUG
rnacentral:rRNA from 1 species